rnacentral:lncRNA from 10 species
GGACGGGGCCGGGCGCGCGCGCGGGCGCGCCUGGGUGUGGGUGCCGCCGAGGGCGGGGCGGCGGUGGCGGCAGGUCCCGGAGCGGGGCGCGCACCGCGGGGCACAGGCGGCUGGGGGCCUUGUGACGCCACAGGCCACGGAGGGGGAGCCGCCCGGGAAAGUGGGUGCGGCCGAGUUCGCGCAGGGGCGGGGCCGGGCGCCGGGAGCUGGGCGGUGUCCCCGGGGGGCUCUGGGUUCCUGGAGGGCCUCUCCGGGACUCGAGGAAAACGACCUUUUCCCUUGCAGCGGCGGGAGAGGGCGAAGUGGAGGACUGCUGCUCGGUUCCGUAUCCAAAAGAGACCCAAGGCUCCAGGCAAAAUAGAUUGGACAUUUUCACUUUCUCAAGCCAGGGCCACCGGUCGCCCAACCAGCAGCCACUGAGGGUGGUAUCGGGGCGCCCCUUCCCCUGGCAGCGUAUUUCAGCCCCCAGAGACAUCCCCCACCUCGGCCAUCCCCAGCGCCUUUGCAGGGACAGCAGCACAACCAUAGCAGAGGUCCUGGGCAUCCUGGAAAUAACGUGCUGGUAUAAAUGUUGGAUUGAGAAAGGAAGAAAAAACAUUUGGGGUCAAUUUGGGGCCCUCUCGUUUGACACGGGAGGAAACACAAGGCCGCAGCGUUGGGGGAAGCUGCUUCCUUUCUCUCUCUUCUUUCUCUCUGUCUCAGGUGCUUCCUUUCUCUUCUCUGUCUCUCUCUCUCUCUCUGCCUCUCCCUCUCUCUCCCCCGUCUCUCCCCCUAUCUUCCCCUCUCUCCUCCUAUCUCCCCCUCUCUCCCCCUCCUUGUGGCUAGGUGAUCUGGCUCAGAAGUGCACGUUGGCCCGCGCGUGCGGGGAGCUGAGAAGCAAGAGAUUGGAACUUUGCACGUGUCAAGCAAGGUUUGGCCUGCUUUGAAGACAGUAAUUUCAGAGCCACUCCGGUCUCUGCGUCACAAGCGGGCAUCAGGGCAGUGGUGGGGCGGCAGGGGAUCCUGAGACCUCCCAUGCCCUCUCUUUGGCCCCGGUGCUUCUGGGUGAGUGUGGGGAGAGAGGAAAAUAGUUGUUUAUGCUUUUCACCAUUUGCAUUUUUAAAUUUUUGUCUUCUUUAAUCUUCCUGGUCUUACUUUUACUCUAGAAUGACAGGUCCUUCCCCCCCAUACUAAGGGUUCUGUCUGCGGAUGCAUCAGGGCAUCUCAUAUCCCUUUACUGGCAACCAGCCUGCCUGCACAGGAUGGAAGGGAGGGCAAUUAAAUUCCCUGCGUCAAGGGAGUCUCUAGGGGAAUGUUCUGUAACGCUCCUCUGGGUGGCCAUUGUAAACCUCUGUGUAUACACACGUGGAAUCCAUUGAUCUGUACAUUCACUGCAGGUGUCUGCACUUUACUGCUUGUAUGUUGUACUUCAAAGGAGUUAUAUUCCCAGAGCCCAGGCAAAGGCUUACUGAGCACCUACCGAGUACACAAAGCAUUGCUAAGCUCUGUGGAUGCAGCUUCCACCCACAGGAAGCUCCCAGUCUGAUGAGGGCCCAGUUACAAUUGUGAUAUCUGCCACAGCGAAGAAGCCUUCGCUAAGUGCUAAGAGAUUCCUUACUUAAACUGUGCAUCCAAAAUUAGGGGAGGAGUGGAGGGAUCAGGUUUCAAGAGCGUUUUGUAAUAAAUGGCCUCUGCCCUAAAUUGUAGGGCCCCCAUUAGUGUGGGGAUUGGGGACAGGGGCAAUAACUGCUGUUGGGAAUUCAACAGGAGAGGAGGCAUGGGGUUGCAGGUGGAGACGCACAGUUCCUUAAGUAACUCACCAAAGGGAAUAGUGGACAUUGAAUGGUCUCUAGUAACAGGAGGCUUGGUUUUUAACUAAAGGUGAUACAGAACAUCUGGCAUUUCCGACUCCCCUUCUUAGGAGUAUCCUGACAACCCGAUGGAAAGUGGCCUGGGUGUCAAGGAAAAAGCAACGUGGAAACAAUUCAGGUUUCUUCCAUAUAAGAGAGACAAUCUUUUCCCAGGUGUGGGUCCUCCCUCUUGGCAGUAGCGGAGAAGUUUUUGAAAGAUAAAUGAUGCUUUUAUUGUGUCAUUUGGCCUUUGUUUGGCGCUUGAUACAGCCCAGGGUUUGCUAUUCUAAAAUCUGUCACUAGACAGAUGUGUGCUGCAGCCAGUGUGGAGAACAUGGGGCAGGAGAGAGGAAGAACCAGGUGUCCCCGUUCCCCAGACCAGUGCUGAUGUGCUACCAGAAAUGGGUUUGCAAGAUUAAUCACCUUCCUCCUGCUUCCCUUGAAUUCUAAUUAUUGUUGUCAGGAUCUGUUGAAGUAGUAAAAGCUGCUGGCAACCAAGACACAUAAAAGCUAAGCUCCAGUUGCUGUGUGUGGUUUCCAACACUUAUUUAUUAUCUCUGUUUAAUAAUAAACCUCCUUCCCCACAGCUAUGUGUUGUAAAGUCUAUCCUUUCUCUCUCUCUCAAAAUUACUAUGGAGAAAAUGCUAUGCAACCUGUUUUGCAUAAAAGGCUGGGCUAAUUAACCUUUCCUUUUCACCUCCGACCUCUAAUACUUACAAACUGUAUGACAGAAGUAGACACUGGCAUAGACAUACAAAUGGUGCUGCUGGGUGGGAUUUUGUUGUUGUUUUGUUGUUUGUCUAAUGAUCUUUGUGAUGCUUGAGUAAUUUAUUCAGGGCUAAGAUUACAGAAACAUAAUGCUAACAAUGGUUGAAAUCAACCUUGUCCCCUAGUUUUAAGAACACGCCACAUUCUUGAACUCCUGCAAGUAAUCUUACUAAGAUUCUCUUCUGAAAUUUUAUUGCUAUAUAUUAGGAACAGAGUGAUUAACACUAGUGAGCUAGAUGAUUUGACAAUAUAUAUCUGAGAAAAGGAAACUGGAAACGUGUCUGAGAAAAAAAAAAGUUCUAGCUACUGAAUGAGAGUUUAGAAAAUGAGACAGCUCCAGUAAAGAAAGUCCAAAUGCACAUAAGAACUCUCUAACAGAGGCCACUCACUUUUCUCAUCUAAGAGUAUGUGGAAAGCUUGUAAUAGGAGAGGAAAAAUUAUGAAUAAUUAAUUCCCACUAUAGGAAGUCUCCUAGGGCAAAAUCAAGCUAAGACUUAGAAUGAUGGGGAAAAGCCCCCUAGUCAUAAUAUUUUGGGGAAAUUUCUUUUCUCUACAAUAUUAUAUAUUAGAAUCUUACAGUAGCUCCAUGAUUCCUUAAACAAAAGGAGGCUCGUUGAUAUGGUUUGGCUCUGUGUCCCCACCCACAUCUCACCUUGAAUUGUAAUAAUCCCCACGUGUCAAGGGUGGGACCAGGUGUAGGUAAUUGAAUCAUGGGUGCGGUUUCCCCCAUGCUGUUCUCGUGAUAUUGAGUGCUUGCAAGAUCUGAUGGCUUUAUAAGGGGGCUUCUCCCUUCACUCAGCACUCAUUCUCUCUCCUGCCACCCUGUGAAGAGAUGCCUUCCGCCGUGAUUGUAAGUUUCCUGAGACCUUCCCAGCCAUGCGGAACUGUGAGUCAAUUAAACCUCUUUUCUUUAUAAAUUACCCACUCUCAAGUGUUUCCUCAUAGCAGCAUGAGAAUGAACUAAUACACUUGUGUAUAUGUUGUAUCGUUUAUUAGCCUGCAGAUAGAAUUUUUUUUGUGUUGGUACUUUUAUUAAACUAAUUCUACCCUCCUCCCCUUGCUAUAUCCUCUGCUCCUUAUUCCUAAGUUUCCAUAAUUUUCUUCUCACUAAGAAAACCUGGAUAGUUCACUCUAAGCACAGAUAAAUAAGAGUAUCAUACAGCAUCAGCAGGCACAGAGCAAUUGGAAAGGAAGGAAGAUCAUCUCCCGGGUCUCUAACCUGGCUUCCAAGGCCCAGCCCAGUGCCUGGCUCACAGAAGGAAUUCACUAUUUCUACUUAUGUUGAAUGUCUGUUGUGCAUAUACAGACGGAAAUAUUCAAACUAGCAUAGUCUGUGUUUGACAAGCAUUCCAUAAGGGAUGUGCUUACCAGAAAGAUGGUGGCCAAGAUGUUGGCCACCCAGAUAUCAGUUGGGGUAUUGCUCCCUAAUACCUAAAAGAAGUUUUUUUUUUAAGGCUUCAAAAUGGUUAACUGAAAAGAACGGAGGUCACAUGACAACAUGAGUAUAUCCCCCAAGGAAGCCUACCUGUCUAUCCCCAGGUACACACACAAACACACGCACACCUAUGAUCCACAGGGGUGACUGCAGGACAUUAACUUCCAACCCCUUCCCAACAGGAAUCUGAACCAGCAGACAAAGCACUGUCGGGUCCUUGCUGCAACCUCUUCCCCCCACCCCCUUUGAUGGUCCUGGUUCUGCAUCAUUGUACUUGCGUAUCAUUCACUCAUUAUUUCAUUGCUUCAUUCACUAGUCAUCAGCCAUUCCUGAAAGACUGACUGUGGGCUUCUGAAUGAGGGAGGAGAAGGAGCCAGUCUGGAAGGGAGGCUGACAAGUUUCAUUUUUAAAAAUUGAUCUGCACUUGGAUAUCUCUGGAGAUGCCAGUAAGGUUGUUGGGUACAGAGGUCUGCAGCUCAGAGACCAGCAGGCAUCCUGAACAAGACAGAUCCAGGCAGACGGAAUGGCCUGUAGGAGAACUUGGCAGAGGGCACAACCAAGAAGAGUUCAAAGGCGCUGGCCAGUUCCAUGCGACUGCAUGGGGUCAUGGGAGAAGAGAUACACUUAAACCAGGGUCCCACAGGCUCAAUGGGUCUCCUUCCAAAAUCAGCUUCCAAUGAGCCCUCAGAUUCUCCAAAUACUGGGCAGCUGGAUUUCCCAGACACCUUCUGCAAUCUGCUGACAUCUAAUAUACCUGUAGACUGUUCUCCUGCUGACAAGGUUGUUCUUGCUCUUAUCCUAUAAAGAAGAGAGGUGGCAGAGAGUUGGAGGGGAGGGCCUCCUUCCCUGGCAUGUCCAUCCGAGGGUCUCCAAGAACAUCCUGGCUGUGGCCCACACCUUUCUGUGUGGUUAGGAGGAGUAUCGGAUGCCUUCUCUUUCCAACCUUGGCUUGUGUGAAGAUGGUGUUAUGGUGAUGUAAGAGGACGGCUCUAUUCUGAGUGAUGCAAGAUCCAACAUUUAGGCAUGAAAUGCCAUGAUGACAGCCGCCUACUUUAGCAAAAGGGAAGUUGUGUGUGUGUGUGUGUGUGUGUGUGUGUGUGUGUGUGUGUGUGUGUUUUUACGCGUAUGCAUAUAAAUAGAGGAAGUCGCUGCAGCUAGAUGGUGAAUCUACGUGAGGAGUAUCUGGCUGUUCCUUGUACUGUUCUUUCAACUUUCUGUGGGUUUGAAAAUUUUCAAAACAAGACAAAAAAUGUUUUUCAAGCACUGUUUGAGAGGAUAGGAAAUAGAAAUGGCUCUUAUUAAAGAGCCAUUCAGAAGACUGUUUUCUUCUAUUUCCUUUUCCCCCACGACUAUGACCCUCAGUGCCAGCGAUUUCUCCUUUCCAUAAACUUUUGUUUGACCUUAAAUCAUUGUGACACCACUGAGCAGGGAAUCUCAAUAAUGGCUGACAUAUCUGGUAGCAAAAGGAAAUGAAGUAUUUUUAUUUUCUCAGGGAACUAAAGGUUAUCUUCUAAAUUCAAAUUUUUUUUUUUUUUUUUAAAGAUGAAGUGUUGCUCUGUCACCCAGGCUGCAGGGAAGUGGUGUGAUCUUGGCUCACUGCAACCUCCGCCUCCCAGGUUCAAACAAUUCUCCUGUCUCAGCCUCCCGACUAGCUGGGACUACAGGCGCGGGCCAGCACACCUGGCUAAUUUUUGUAUUUUUAGUAGAGAAGGGGUUUCACCAUGUUGGCCAGCCUGGUCUCGAACUUCUGGUCUCAAGUGAUCCACCUGCCUUGGUCUCCCAAAGUGCUGGGAUUACAGGCAUGAGCCACUGCACCCAGCCUCAAAUUUCUUAUAUUGAGCUUCAACUAUGCAAGAUCCCAUGAGAGGAAUGAUAUACCAAGAUGAACAACAAUAUGGUCUCUGCCUUCAAGGGGUAUAAAAUCUAACCCAUACAAAUGGGCUCCCAAGCAUUUUUU